GUGAAAUAAAUAUAGACGAUAGUUUUCGUAUUCGUCAGUAUUGUGCCGUUACUAAGUGAAGGCGCAUGUGAUAGAGUUGUUUGAAGCGUGCUUUAAAAAAUGAAUUUUUGUUUAUUAAACAUAUUUUUGAUUUUUGUUGUCUUCGCGAUUGUCGGUAUAAAAGAUGUGGAGUCAAGGAUUAGUGACCGUCACAUAUGUCGCUAUGACUGUUCAUCUUAUUGCCAGUCACGUGGCAAGAGUGACGGACACUGCGGCCAUCGAUCCUGUGUAUGUCGACAAUCGAUAGAACCGUAGACGUGGAAUCAUGGAAAACUAAUUCCCGUAUCAUCAUGACUGUCAUACUUAGGUACAUGUACGUACUGCAAGAGCGAAGGACAUAACUACUACGACUGUCUGAAUCUCUUGAAUAUGAACCAAUGGAUUGUGCACUCGUAAAUGCUCUACAUAAUAGAUGAGAGCGAAGAUGCAGAAUCAUUGAACGUUAAUCAACACAGCUAUCAACGUGACUGAUGAUACUUACAGAUCGUGAUAUGGUUUGGCUUUGGUAGUCAAACUUACGUAAAAUUUCCGUAAAGUACUCGGGACAUAUGACAAGAGCAAUGAAUUCUGAAUGGAAACAGUAAUAGAUUUUUACUAGAUUGCCCCUCUAAGCCGAGGUCCGGGUCUCAAAAGGGAGAGAUUUGCCCGACGCCGCCGCCCUUAGAGAUUCGUUCUGCUCACAUCUUCUACUUCUGCUCCAGGGCCCCAUCAGGCGAUGCUUCUGCGCUCGUGGUGAUGCUGCUGAGGUCCUAUUAGGAAGCUUUACAAAGUCAGAAAAAAAAAUAGAUGUUAUGUCUAAAAUCUAUAAAACAGUACAUAAUUAUGGACUCUAAGAAUAUUGACUGCCAUGACUCUUAUCUUAAGCUCACGAAUACAGUGAUAAUAACUUAUUAUUAUCAUAGAUCCUGAUUACGAGUAUGUCGAUGUGAGACUGUACAACUACAGAUGUAGCAAGUCAAGCUUCUUGAGUUUUUUAUCGAGACUUACUAAUAUAAUUGUUUUUUUUUAUAUUUGUGAAAUUUUCAUAGAACGUUUGGUGAAAAUUAUUCAGCUAUCAAUUAUUAUAUAUAUACAUAUUUUCA